CCCUCGGAGCGUUAUAUCAAACGAAAGUAGUUUUAGUGAGAACUAAUACAAAAUCGGGCGCGAUGAAUUGGGAA
rnacentral:sRNA from 12 species